rnacentral:misc_RNA from 1 species
GUAUUUUCUUGUUUCCAAAUCAGAUGAAUUAUCAGGCAAACACUUUUUUCAAUAAGCCAAAUCAAAUUUUCAUUCAAUAGUUGUGAUUGUUUGUUUGAGGAAAGAUUUUUUAGGUCUUUCCUUUUGUGAUAGAAUACUUUGAUGAUCCCUCCGCAGGUUCACCUACGGAGA